AUUUGCCCCCAGAGGAUCGCAAGAUGCCAUUGUAUAAUCAGCAGCAGAUUAGACUAAAUAAUAUAAUACUCCACGAAAAGUUCGAUGUAGACAUGUAUCUUGGAAAUGAGCUUAAAAUAAUAGAAACAGAUGACCUUGGAAACACAGCAAUCAAACAUCAAAAAGUGACAAAAAGUAUAUUAAUCAAUAAAUAAGUUAAAAAAGAAGUAACAAAAUUGAAAAGAUGAAAAAAAAAACCAUUCAAUAGUGUUUUCAGCGACAGAAAAGUAUUGCACAAAUUGUUGUCUUUAUUGAAAGACAUAAAAUUAAGUUCCUAACUCCAACGCAUGUUAGCUCAAUAAGCGGGGCAUCUGGCGAACAUGUGGACUUUAAAAACGAAUACAAUUUUCUUAUGUCUUUACCCUAAUGUUAUGUUUUAACCAGCAUUACAUUUUUAGAAAUAAAUUUCGGACCGGCUUUGUACUUCUACUUACAGGUCUUCCCGAAGGAAUAGCACCCACA